rnacentral:rRNA from 1 species
GACGAACGCUGGCGGCGUGCUUAACACAUGCAAGUCGAACGCUGAAGCUCAGCUUUUGUUGGGUGGAUGAGUGGCGAACAGGUGAGUAACACGUGAGUAACCUGCCUCCUUCUUUGGGAUAACGCCCGGAAACGGGUGCUAAUACUGGAUAUUCACUGGUCUUCGCAUGGGGGUUGGUGGAAAGGGUUUUUCUGGUGGGGGAUGGGCUCGCGGCCUAUCAGCUUGUUGGUGGGGUGAUGGCCUACCAAGGCUUUGACGGGUAGCCGGCCUGAGAGGGUGACCGGUCACAUUGGGACUGAGAUACGGCCCAGACUCCUACGGGAGGCAGCAGUGGGGAAUAUUGCACAAUGGGCGCAAGCCUGAUGCAGCGACGCCGCGUGAGGGAUGGAGGCCUUCGGGUUGUGAACCUCUUUCGCUCAUGGUCAAGCCGCAACAAUGGUUGUGGUGAGGGUAGUGGGUAAAGAAGCGCCGGCUAACUACGUG